rnacentral:rRNA from 1 species
AUUGAACGCUGGCGGCAGGCCUAACACAUGCAAGUCGAACGAGUGGCGGACGGGUGCGUAAUGUAUCGGAAACUGCCCGAUGGAGGGGGAUAACUACUGGAAACGGUAGCUAAUACCGCAUACCCUUGGACGUGCCCAGAUGGGAUUAGCGAGUAGGUGGGGUAACGGCUCACCCAGGCGACGAUCCCUAGCUGGUCUGAGAGGACGACCAGCCACACUGGAACUGAGACACGGCCCAGACUCCUACGGGAGGCAGCAGUGGGGAAUAUUGCACAAUGGGCGCAAGCCUGAUGCAGCCAUGCCGCGUGUAUGAAGAAGGCCUUCGGGUUGUAAAGUACUUUCAGCGAGGAGGCGUUACUCGCAGAAGAAGCACCGGCUAACUCCGUGCCAGCAGCCGCGGUAAUUC